rnacentral:lncRNA from 1 species
GAUUCAAAAACACCAGAGGACCACGACCAGGACACCAUGAGCCCCCAUUCCUACACCAGUGCCUCACAUGCUCUCUCCCCAAUGCCUCCGUUUCUCCAGAAAAGCUAGAGGAACCUUUUCCUCAUCCCCUUCGAAGGAAAAGAUGAGUGAGGAUCUCCGCGUUGGAGGAAGAGGGAGUCGAAAGAGGCUUCCACUCUUUGAAAAAGGCUUCCAUGCUUCUCUGUGACAUCCCCCAAAAACAGGCAGAGUCUAAGAUGUGCAUGUACCCACUCAAGCCUCAAGCUUGUAUCUGUAUCCAUAUCCAGGGACAUGAACAAGAACUGAGGUAGCCAUUGGUUUAACUUAGAGCACUCUCAAAGUUCAGAUCAGCGUUAUGUGUGUGCAUGAGUGUGGUGGGGAGAUUUUCCCCUAGGACAAAGAGACUUUCCCUCCCAUUUUUGCCAUUGUGCUAGUUAAAAAAGAAAAAAGAAAAAAAAAAAAAAAAGAAUCCCUGACAAGGAAGAAUUCCCUGAAGAUGGUAGGGGUGGAAAUAAUGACCACUGAGAUGAUAUUCCAUUUCUGGCUGCUGGGGGAAAAUGUUUUUAAAAUUUAUUUUAUUUUGAGGAGACCAAGAUAGUCUGAAGUUUAGAGUGUUGUAAUUUACUAUGGGGAGAGGGCACAAGACUCUGAGCCCCAAGCAAUUGGUGGGAAACUAGGCCUCAAAGCAGAAAAUGAAAAGUCGAUCUGGGGGAAGAUUUUUAAAUAAGUGGGUCAGACGGAUGGAGAGGAGAUGAGGCGAUCAAUCUUAGCCCCCUGACAGCUCCCUCCGAUUGCAUCAAAGAAUUUGGCUCUUUGGGAAAGCAGAGCGAACAGCCAAAAUUUCACAUCCCUUAAAAAGGCCUGGGGGUGGGGGUGGGGGUGCAAAAGAGAAGGGUGAUUCUGGGAGAGCUGGGAAACAGAUGGGAAAUGGGGACAGAGGGAAAGCGCUAAGUUGGGUGGAAAGUUUGCCUGGAGAACUCCCAUGGCUUUGGCCUCCCCUCCCCCUCCUCUCUCUCUGCUGCCCAGCCAGGAGGAGAAGGCUGGUUAGCAGAGAAAUGGCAACUGAGCCCGGAGCUGGAACUAGAAACUUUCUGUCAGUGUAACAUCUGCACCCAAUGGUGGUUGGGCUUCGGGUCACGUGACACCUUCUUUGUGGCUCCGGAAGAGGAUUGUGAAGUUUAGGUUUCGUGGAAGAAACCGUAAUCGGCCAGAUUUUCUUGGUGGUGGUGGGAAGGGGUGGGGGGUGGGGGGUGCAUGGACGCUGUGGCCAAAGGAGCUAACAGACGAAAGGUCAAUGAAUGAAAAACCUAGAGGCAUACAGGCCAAACAGAAAAACCUACAGAGAGCAUCCAAGAGUCCCCCGUUACCUCCCAACUUGCUACUUAAACCACAGCUGAAGAAGUUGGCAAAAUGUUACAGGCUCUUAUGAGUGAGAAAAUGGUAUUUAAACUUAAGACAUAUCAAGGGGGAGACAGGAACCUGGGCAGUGGACAAAAAGGCCAGGGAAGGGUCUUCAGUGUCCUUGUCCUUGUCCUUCUUCCCUUGGGGGAAAUUUGGCAGUCAGCAGCCUUGCUCUGCUAUCUAAAUUGGACCACCAGGACAAGAUAAAAUUGAUAACAGAAAGUUUAUUCAAGAAUUGUUUGACAGACAACCCUUUUAGGUAAGGAAAAAAGUAACUACUGAAGAACAAAGAAAGUUCCAAGAGGGAAUUAACUCUAGUUCUACAAAUUCAGGACUAUACAGUGACGAUUAGGAGCUGAGUUCAUGCCUUUUAGAACUAAUUACAAUUGUUCGUAAGUACGAGUUUAACAUAAAUCUACAGCUCUUUUCU